CUCAACCUUGAGUUCAAUUUACUUAAAUUUAAGUUGAAUUUACCUUAUUUUGAGUAUAUUUCAAACAACUUAAAAGUACCUUACUGCACGGAAGACCUCGACUGAGUCGAAUCUCUCGUUUUGUUUUUGACAACACUAAUAAGUGCGAAAGCGACGCACAGCUCAAAAGUACCUAAAUUUAAGUUAAAAGAACUUAUUCUGUAGGUUAUUUUACGGUUGCAUGUGUAUAAAUGGCAGCUCUGUUCGCGAAUGCAAACAAAACCAGGGUGGCUGACCUACCGAUUUUGGGCUUUCCUAACGAUUCACAGUCGACCGGAGAAAAACUAACGAUAUUUUCGUAUUCCCACCGAAAACUACCGAUUUUUAUUGAUUUUGGGCACAUCCUACACCAACAUUUAUUUUUGAGUCGGAUUUAGUCUGAAAUCUGUGUUUCCAGUAUUUACAAUUCUAUGUGAACAAUACGUUUUUUGGACAAAAACACCAAUAACUACCGAUAAACUUUUAGUGAGUUUACUGAUAUUAAGGAAUUCUAUCUGGCCACCCAGAACAAAACAAACAAACCGACAUGUGAUGUUUUUUCACUGGCAUUGCUAAAACAUUCGGCGUCUUCGGGUCAAUCCAUUGUAUUCUAUACAUAAAAUCAAGUACAUUGCUUUCGGGUUGUCAUCCGGUGGACCUACGAGGUAUAAAACGGCCAUAUUUCCGUGUUAAACCACUGGAUCGUUCUAAGUUGACAAAGUGGAAGGAAAACCUCGAUUUUGAAAUCGAAAAUGUGGAUAAGAAACGUAUUCUAUUGCUUGAAUGAUUGGACGAACCAGAUAAUGUUCUACGAUCCAAGAUGCUGAAGAACGAUUCCCCAUCCGGACAAAUUUGAUGUGCACCUGUGUGGUCAGCAUUAGCAAAAACUCAGGACCACAACAAAGCCGGUGAGAUACUUGCAAAUCUGGUGGUUUGCUCCUGCUGAUACAAAUUGCCUGUGGGCGAAUAAAUUUGGAGCGCCGUCGUGACGACAAAUGCGUUCAGUUGUAUUCUUCAAGAUUAAAAUAUGUCAACCAGGCACAGGUACUCGAGGAAGACACGUAGACCACGGAAGUUGCACUGCAGUUUAUGGUACAGGAUGGGUUAAAGCGAAUAAAAAGAGAAAACAAUCGCCACUCAAAGAAUCAUCAAAGGAAACUGCGUCUAGUGGCACAGUUGGAACUAGUAGUACUGCUGCUAGUUAUAUAGUCGGAAGCUACAACUAUGCUAGCACAACUCCUACUAUUACGGAACUCUGGCAACCCAAUCCAACCAGUAUCAAUACGAGGAGAGUUCGCCUACGGCUACAGCACCUGAAAUCAUCAAUACACCAG